rnacentral:rRNA from 1 species
CGUGUUUUGAGUGUGCAGGUCACACAAGCUGAGCAAAAUCAGAGGCACAAUUUGUUCCAUACCAAGGGAGUUGUGAAGGAACGUUCUGUGCGCGUCAUCAUAGACGGAGGGAGCUGCAACAACUUGGCUACCAUGGAGAUGGUGGAGAAGCUUUCUCUCACCACAAGACCACAUCCACAUCCUUACUACAUCCAAUGGUUCAACAACAGCGGCAAGGUUAAGGUAACACAUACUAUUCGUGUGCAUUUUAGUAUCUCUACAUAUGCUGAUUAUGUUGAUUGUGAUGUGGUACCUAUGCAAGCAUGUUCCUUAUUACUUGGUAGACCAUGGCAAUUUGAUAAAAAUUCUAUACACCAUGGUAGAAACAAUCACUAUACUCUUGUUCAUAAGGAUAAAAAUAUUACUUUGCUUCCUAUGACUCCUGAUUCCAUUUUGAAAGAUGAUAUUAAUAGAGCUAAUAAAGCAAAACAGGAGAAGAAUAAGAGUGAAAAUCAGAUUGUGGCAAAAGAAUUUGAGCAACAAAUGAAGCCUAAUAAUAAACCAUCUAGUGUUGCUUCUGAAAUUAAAUUGAAAAGUGCAUGUUUAUUUGCCACCAAAUCUGAUAUUGAU